rnacentral:lncRNA from 1 species
UUUUCUUUUAGAAUUAUAAAAAAUGAGAUACAUAUUUUUCAUUAUAAAUUUAAAAAAUUAUACGGCAAAAAGCUCUAUUAUUUAUAAGUAUAAAAAAAUACAUAAUAAAUAUUUAUCACUGACAAAUAAAAAAAUAUUGGACAAGUAUUUAUCACAAAUAUAUAUAAACACAUGACUAACAGUGGUCAAACGUAAAUAUUAGAAAAACAUACGGAAACAUAUGUUAAUUGAUAAUUGAA